rnacentral:tRNA from 1 species
GGGAAGGUGGCUCAGUGGUAUAGAGUGCUUGCCUCGCAUGCAUGAGGCCCUGAGUUC